rnacentral:rRNA from 1 species
GAUGAACGCUGACAGAAUGCUUAACGCAUGCAAGUCGAUGGGGAAGUGGUGCUUGCACCAUGGUAACCAUGGCGGACGGGUGAGUAACGCGUAAGGAACUUGCCUGCGGGACUGGGAUAACAGCAGGAAACUGCUGAUAAUACCGGAUAAGGUCAUUAAGCUGCAUAGCUUAGUGAUGAAAGGAGACGCCUGCGGAGAGCCUUGCGUCCUAUUAGCUAGUUGGAGGGGUAACGGCCCACCAAGGCGAAGAUAGGUAGCCGGCCUGAGAGGGUGGACGGCCACAAGGGGACUGAGAUACGGCCCUUACUCCUACGGGAGGCAGCAGUGGGGAAUAUUGGACAAUGGGGGCAACCCUGAUCCAGCAAUUCUGUGUGUACGAAGACGGUUUUCGGAUUGUAAAGUGCUUUCAGCAGGGAAGAAGGAAGUGACGGUACCUGCAGAAGAAGCGACGGCUAAAUACGUG